rnacentral:rRNA from 1 species
GACGAACGCUGGCGGCGUGCCUAACACAUGCAAGUCGAACGGGAACUUCGGGUUUUGUUGCGGACGGGGGGGUACCGAGUGGGGACAUGCACUUGGGUUCGGAAUAACUCCCCGAAAGAGGUGUUAAUAACGGAUAAGGUCUUAGGACCAAAGAGCUAUCGCCUUUGGGUGGGCGCGCGUUGGUUUAGCUGGUUGGUAGUGUAAAAGCCGAUCAACGAGAGGAUCCUUAGCUGGUUGGAGAGGAUGAUCCGCCGCACUGGGACUGAGACACGGCCCAGACUCCUACGGGAGGCAGCAGUGGGGAAUAUUGGAGAAGGGGCGAAAGCCUGAUCCAGCAAUGCCGCGUGUGUGAUGAAGGCCUUAGGGUUGUAAAGCUGUUUUACCCGGGAUGAUAAUGACGGUACCGGGAGAAUAAGCACCGGCUAACUCCGUG